rnacentral:rRNA from 1 species
UACAGAGGAGCCAAGCGUUGUCCGGAUUGACUGGGCGUAAAGAGCUCGUAGGUGGUUUGUCGCGUUGUCCGUGAAAACUCACAGCUCAACUGUGGGCGUGCGGGCGAUACGGGCAGACUGGAGUACUGCAGGGGAGACUGGAAUUCCUGGUGUAGCGGUGGAAUGCGCAGAUAUCAGGAGGAACACCGGUGGCGAAGGCGGGUCUCUGGGCAGUAACUGACGCUGAGGAGCGAAAGCGUGGGGAGCGAACAGG